CAGUGGUCACUGAGGGGGGUCAGUGGUCACUCAGGGGUCACUGGGGGAGGUCAGUGGUCACUGAGGGGGGUCAGUGGUCACUCAGUGGGGGGUCAGUGGUCACUCAGUGGGGUCAGUGGUCACUGGGGGGGGUCGGGGGUCACUGGGGGGGGUCAGUGGUCACUCGGGGGGGUCAGUGGUCACUCAGGGGGCUCAGUGGUCACUGAGGGGGGUCAGUGGUCACUGCGGGGGGGGGUCAGUGGUCACUCAGGGGGGUCAGUGGUCACUGGGGGGGUCAGGGGUCACUCAG